GAUGAACGCUGGCGGCGUGCCUAACACAUGCAAGUCGAACGGACUUUUCAUGAAGCCUAGCGAUUGGAAAGUUAGUGGCGGACGGGUGAGUAACGCGUGGGUAACCUGCCUUGUACUGGGGGACAACAGUUGGAAACGACUGCUAAUACCGCAUAAGCGCACAGCUUCGCAUGAAGCAGUGUGAAAAACUCCGGUGGUACAAGAUGGACCCGCGUCUGAUUAGCUGGUUGGUGAGGUAACGGCCCACCAAGGCGACGAUCAGUAGCCGGCCUGAGAGGGUGAACGGCCACAUUGGGACUGAGACACGGCCCAAACUCCUACGGGAGGCAGCAGUGGGGGAUAUUGCACAAUGGGGGAAACCCUGAUGCAGCAACGCCGCGUGAGUGAAGAAGUAUUUCGGUAUGUAAAGCUCUAUCAGCAGGAAAGAAAAUGACGGUACCUGACUAAGAAGCCCCGGCUAACUACGUGCCAGCAGCCGCGGUAAUACGUAGGGGGCAAGCGUUAUCCGGAUUUACUGGGUGUAAAGGGAGCGUAGACGGUUUUGCAAGUCUGAAGUGAAAGCCCGGGGCUUAACCCCGGGACUGCUUUGGAAACUGUAGAACUAGAGUGCAGGAGAGGUAAGUGGAAUUCCUAGUGUAGCGGUGAAAUGCGUAGAUAUUAGGAGGAACACCAGUGGCGAAGGCGGCUUACUGGACUGUAACUGACGUUGAGGCUCGAAAGCGUGGGGAGCAAACAGGAUUAGAUACCCUGGUAGUCCACGCCGUAAACGA
rnacentral:rRNA from 1 species